AGUAUGUGCUGUGAUGGCUACAUCACUUAGCAUUAGAGUCAAAGAAGCCGAGUUUGGAGGGGACCUGGGUUUGUCUGUACAGAUGAGGAAACAGAAGCUGGGAUAUGUGAGUAAACAUUUCCAAGGUCCUGCAGCUAAUCAAUGGUUGACAACUUCUUUCCUCUGCCUAUGUUGCCAUCCAUGUCAUGGUUUGUGUCAAGACUCUAGGAGAAGUCUACCAUCAGCACCACAGCUACUGUGCACAAAUCCAGAAUGCCAGACUGAAGUCAGAAGGAAAGGACCUGGCUUUUAAAAAUGGUGAAGGGAAAUGUUCUUAUCACCCAUUCCUGUCAGAGAUGAUGCAGCUCAUUGCUGAUGCUGAGAUCCAACGUCCAGUGCCUGAGUACCCCUGGAUUCUGAGCACUAGGGGCUGGACUGUGGAGACCAUCAGUUCAUAACAUCCUGUCCCUGCUCCCUGCUGUAGAUGACUGAGACCAGAAAGAAGAUUGGAAAAAUCUCCCAUGACCAAGGAAAAUUGUGAAAAAUAUUUCUGAUAUUUUGUCUAUGCAUUUUAUUUUUGAGGGUGUUUUUUAUAUUAGUGUGACUAUUUUGUAUUUCCUACCCUGUUGUAAACUUUUUAAAAAUUGCUCUUACAGUUAUUACUAAGUAUAUGAUUUAAAAUCCCUAAUUAGGGUUCUUAAACAAGGGAGAAGCACUCUCAUACCCCUAGAACAAGAUGAACAAAAGAAGGAGGAAAAAUCUUGACCUCCGUAAGAUCCAGGAUGGCACGUGCAAGGCACUGACACAGCAUCUGCCGGCAUCACUGACUCUCCUGGACCCCAGAAGCCCAGUUCCCCAGGCUCUGAAACCCUGCAGCAAUGAAAAGGAAGCACAGGCAAACCAUAAGGAAGAUAAUUUUUCUACUAAAAAAUAAAUAGAAAUGCAUCCUUAGAGGCAGGUUUCAUGAGGACACAGAGAAUCCGGUUUUGUGUGUGCCUGAUUUCGUUUUUCUGUCAAAGAGAUACAAAACAAUCAACUGAGUUAUCUUGAACUUACAAAGAUUAAAAAUAAUCAAUUCCUGUUACUAUUUUCAAUUUUUCCCCCAUUUUACUUCUUUAGGUAUGAAGAAAUGUAGCCUAUUAAAACCUGGAUUAAUAAAAACCUUUCAUUAACUUUUAGAA
rnacentral:lncRNA from 1 species